GAUGAAUGCUGGCGGCGUGCCUAACACAUGCAAGUCGAGCGGCAGCGCGAGUAGUUUACUACUUGGCGGCGAGCGGCGGACGGCUGAGUAACGCAUGGGAACGUGCCCCAAAGUGAGGAAUAACUGCCCGAAAGGGUGGCUAAUACCGCAUAUGACCUUCGGAUUAAAGUCUUCGGACGCUUUGGGAGCGGCCCGCGUCGGAUUAGGUUGUUGGUGAGGUAAUGGCUCACCAAGCCGACGGUCCGUAGCUGGUCUGAGAGGAUGAUCAGCCAGACUGGGACUGAGACACGGCCCAGACUCCUACGGGAGGCAGCAGUGAGGAAUCUUCCACAAUGGGCGAAAGCCUGAUGGAGCAACGCCGCGUGCAGGAUGAAGGCCUUCGGGUCGUAAACUGCUUUUAUGAGUGAAGAAUAUGACGGUAACUCAUGAAUAAGCACCGGCUAACUACGUGCCAGCAGCCGCAGUAA
rnacentral:rRNA from 1 species